rnacentral:lncRNA from 1 species
GGAAACCUCCUCAAAUUAGUGGAAUUGCAUUGGCACAUUCCGGAAAGCACUUCUAGCGCAAUGUAACUGGUGGAUUCUGGACCCAGACUGUAAAGUUAGUUCCACCGUAUGGGCACCUGCUCCCUCCUCAUACAACUGUAGGGAAUCCCUGAAAGGAAAGCAGGGUAGAGAUACUGCCCUUUUUUCUUUUUAUCUUUUUUUCCUUGCGAUUGAUAAAAAUCGAAAGCAAAAGACACUCGCAUCUGCAGGCCAAGGCCUAACAUAGCAGAAUGGCCAUCCAUAUUCUCUCAAAUAUACGACUUUAAAGCUUAGUCUUUAUUUACAUACUGAAAUAAUCCAUGUUUGGUAACAGUUGGUGAUCAGCUGAGAAUAAACGGAAAAUGGCAGA